rnacentral:tRNA from 8 species
GGCUGGGUAGCUCAGUUGGUACGAGCGUCCGCCUGAAAAGCGGAAGGUCGCCGGUUCGAUCCCGGCCCCAGCCA